AUGUUAUUUUCAGUUGUUUAUCUUACAGAGAUUAGUAUAAAUGGACUCAAGAUAUUACAAAAUCUUUUCACAUAUCUUCAUCAAAGAAGAUAUCGACUGUAAGCGAAAGAAAAUAUUACAUGAUCAAAGAUUCAAAGCACCCACCUGUUAGCAUUCCCC